rnacentral:rRNA from 1 species
GAUGAACGCUGGCUGUGUGCCUAAUACAUGCAUGUCGAGCGAAGCACUUUUGUGCUUAGCGGCGAAUGGGUGAGUAACACGUACUUAACCUACCCUCAAGAUUGGGACAACACUUGGAAACGAGUGCUAAUACCAAAUACGUAUUUUUAUCGCAUGAUAGAUAUAUAAAAGGAGCUUCGGCUUCACUAGAGGAUGGGAGUGCGCUACAUUAGUUAGUUGGUAGGGUAAUGGCCUACCAAGACUAUGAUGUAUAGCGGGGCCGAGAGGCUGAUCCGCCACACUGGGACUGAGAUACGGCCCAGACUCCUACGGGAGGCAGCAGUAGGGAAUUUUCCACAAUGAACGAAAGUUUGAUGGAGCGACACAGCGUGCAGGAUGAAGGUCUUCGGAUUGUAAACUGCUGUUAUAAGAGAAGAAAAACCCUGGUAGGUAAUGACCAGGACUUGACGGUACCUUAUCAGAAAGCGACGGCUAACUAUGUGCCAGCAGCCGCGGUAAUACAUAGGUCGCAAGCGUUAUCCGGAAUUAUUGGGCGUAAAGAGUCCGUAGGUGGUUUUGUAAGUCUGAAGUUAAAUACCGGGGCUCAACCCCGGCCCGCUUUGGAUACUGCAAAACUAGAGUAAUAGAGAGGUUAGUGGAACUCCAAGUGAAGCGGUGGAAUGCGUAGAUAUUUGGAAGAACACCAAUGGCGAAGGCAACUAACUGGAUAUUAACUGACACUGAGGAACGAAAGCGUGGGUAGCAAACAGG